rfam:Nasonia vitripennis chromosome 1, whole genome shotgun sequence.
UAGGCGGGUCACUCUAAGUUCGAAUACCAAGCCCUGCUGGAGAAUAGCUUGGUGUUCUACCUUACAGUGAUUUGAUUG